AUUGAACGCUGGCGGCAGGCCUAACACAUGCAAGUCGAGCGGAUGAAGGGAGCUUGCUCCUGGAUUCAGCGGCGGACGGGUGAGUAAUGCCUAGGAAUCUGCCUGGUAGUGGGGGAUAACGUCCGGAAACGGGCGCUAAUACCGCAUACGUCCUGAGGGAGAAAGUGGGGGAUCUUCGGACCUCACUCUAUCAGAUGAGCCUAGGUCGGAUUAGCUAGUUGGUGGGGUAAAGGCCUACCAAGGCGACGAUCCGUAACUGGUCUGAGAGGAUGAUCAGUCACACUGGAACUGAGACACGGUCCAGACUCCUACGGGAGGCAGCAGUGGGGAAUAUUGGACAAUGGGCGAAAGCCUGAUCCAGCCAUGCCGCGUGUGUGAAGAAGGUCUUCGGAUUGUAAAGCACUUUAAGUUGGGAGGAAGGGCAGUAAGUUAAUACCUUGCUGUUUUGACGUUACCAACAGAAUAAGCACCGGCUAACUUCGUG
rnacentral:rRNA from 1 species